ensembl:lncRNA
CAGAGCUGGUCCUAAGAAACAAACACAUCCUGUAAUAAACUGAAUACCUGUAGUAGUGCUGCUGCAAAUAUGAAGCCCUUCUAUCAUGUGUGGUUUCAAAGAAGGCUCAGUCACAGAAACUGUGCAGUCUGUUCAGUCCUGAGUGUCUCAGCUCUGAAGGGGAUGAAUCACAGAGGGAAACACCUGAGUACAGACAUUACAAUACACUCUAACACUCCUAAGGUCAAGUGAAAACACAAUUUAAACAGUUUACAAAGAAUGAAUACAUGUUUUCAUGGAAAUAAUGUCAUUAACCCUUUUUGUUGUUAGUAAAUCUCACCGACUGCUUGUGGGACAAGCUAGAAGGAAGACUUAUCACAGAAUCUCUCCUGUGCUCCAGAUGUGAAGUCUCACGCUCUGAUCGUAUGGCGAUGAAGAUGGUGAUGAUGAAGUUUCUCUGAUCUGUGGCAUUACAGUUUCUAGCUGCUAUGUGCUUCACACUGUUGGAUCUUACAUGUGAAGCUUGGAGAAGACACAGGAGGACUGUGUCUCUCUUAAAAAGAAAAAAAAAGAAAAACAAAGGAAACCUAACAGGAAUGGAAACCCCCCCCCCCCUCAACUCCCACCGUAACCCCCCCCCCCCCCCCCUCCCACUCAACUCCCCAACCUCACACCAUCCAAUGUAGGGUAUCAGCUGGUAACAGAAAGCAAGUGUUACAUAUGUACUACAUAUGUAACACUGCUGAAACAUUUCUGGCCAGAAAUGUGCAGUUAUCAACCCAGACCCACCCUAAUAAAUGCACUGGCCGAAACAUGAUAAAAGCUCAUAAAAAUUUAUGUUUCAUAGAAAAAUUUGUCCAAAAAUAUAAUCGUAUACUUUUGAAAAAGUUUAAAGUUUAUAACAAACCAAAAUAAUAACAUUUUUGUAAAUAGUAUUUCAAAAUAGAGGCACACAUAAAGUGGCUUAACUGUCAUUAUUGCUGUAAUUAGGUUUGUUUGUUUGUUUUUUUAAAAAGCAACCUUUAGUCAUUAUUGUUCUCUCAGAAACAAUGAAGAAGCUGUUGAACAUUUAUGUGUUGUGUAGGCAAUCCUCUGGUCCACCCUCCCUCC